rnacentral:lncRNA from 1 species
CUUUAUUCAUUUGGUUAUGUUCAAGCUCUAAGAAUCUGCAACCACAUUGAUGCCAACUGAACUAGCCACAUGACGCACACUUCACACACAUGUACACACGUGCACAUACAUACAUACAUACAUACAUACAUACAUACAUACAUACAUACAACGACGCACAUUUUUUGCGAACUAAUACUUCAACAAAGAACUAAGAACAGAAGAAAUCUGCAAUUGAUACACAUGGUGAUUUACGUCGUAAGAAUGUCUGGAAGCUUAAC